rnacentral:rRNA from 1 species
GUGGGGAAUAUUGGACAAUGGGGGAAACCCUGAUCCAGCAAUGCCGCGUGAGUGAAGAAGGCCCUAGGGUUGUAAAGCUCUUUCAAUAGGGAAGAUUAUGACGGUACCUAUAGAAGAAGCCCCGGCUAAAUCCGUGCCAGCAGCCGCGGUAAGACGGAUGGGGCUAGCGUUAUUCGGAAUUACUGGGCGUAAAGGGCGCGUAGGCGGUGAAUUAAGUUAGGCGUGAAAGCCCUGGGCUUAACCCAGGAACUGCGUUUAAUACUGGUUCGCUAGAGUUUGGUAGAGGAAAGCGGAAUUCCUAGUGUAGAGGUGAAAUUCGUAGAUAUUAGGAAGAACACCAGAGGCGAAGGCGGCUUUCUGGACCAAUACUGACGCUGAGGCGCGAAAGCGUGGGGAGCAAACAGGAUUAGAAACCCGAGUAGUCC